ensembl:lncRNA
UGAGCACCUGUUUCCGACAGGGGUGCAAGUGGAAGACUCUGGAGCUUGGACGCCUCAGUAUGGAAGAGCCUGGCUCUACUGCUUACUGUCUGGGUGACUGGAGGAAACUCAGCUGUAAAAUGAGAUGGGGGGCUGAUAUCUAUUUUGCAGGCUCUUCUGUCCUUGGGAUUCUCCAGGCAAGAAUACUGGAGUGGGUUGCCAUACCCCUCUCCAGGGGAUCUUCCUGACCCAGAUUCCCUCCCCGCUCAUCUCCUAGAGGGUGUGUGAGUACUUAAGAGGUGCCAUCUGCAAGGUCCUCACCUAUAUACCAUCGGUCGUGGCCAACUGUGUGCUGGGAUUCUAAGAUAAUUGCUGG